UUUAUAUCCAGGGCUACACACACGCUACAAUGGUCUGUACAAUGGGUAGCCAAGCCGCGAGGCGGAGCCAAUCCUGAAAGCAGGCCUCAGUUCAGAUUGCAGUCUGCAACUCGACUGCAUGAAGCCGGAGUUGCUAGUAACCGCAGGUCAGCAAUACUGCGGUGAAUACGUUCCCGGGUCUU
rnacentral:rRNA from 1 species